UUCAUAAAAAAUAGUAUAGAACUCCCCCAACUAAAAAAAAGUUGUAAUUUUUAAUUGAUUCAUCAAAAUAAAGUAUAAUUUAAGGGGGUUACAUAAUGAUGUGAUGCAAGUUGGAUGUGAUGAGUUCAAAAAAAUGAUAUUUUUAAAAGAUAAUUUUAUCUUUUUUGCACUUUACUCCCUCUUUUAAUUUUGCUUUACAGUCUCUCUGUUCCUGGAUGGAGAGGGUGGAAGGGAGGAAGAGAGAGAGAGAGAGAGAAUGGCUUCUCUUGAUGCUUAGCAUGAUUGAGAACACGAGGGGGUUGGGACCAUAGAGAGAGAAAGUGAUGAGGAAGCAUAAAGAUGGCUCCUUUUAUUAUUAUUUUUUUUCUCAAAGAAAUAUCCAAGAAGCUGUAUUUGGCUAAGUUCAGGAAGACAAUCUCAUUCUACAAAUAGCAGAAGAGAAAGCACUCCUGCAAGCCGUUUGAUCGAAGAGAAAACGCUCUGAGUUGAGAAGGUUACAUGAAGAGAGAAGAAGAAGAGAAAAGAGGAUCAAAUAGAUCGCAGAUCGGGAUCUGAUCUUCCUUCACAAACAAUUUUCUUCCUAUCUAUCUCUCCCUUCUGUAUUUAUUAUUAUUGGAUCGAUGAGAGUGGGCUGACAGAAGAGAGUGAGCACACAGCGUUGAAGACUGCAUCGACGAAUGCCGUUCUUGUUGCGUGCUCACCUCUCUAUCUGUCAGUCAGCCUUAUUAUUGGCCACUUUAAUCGAACCCGUAGCUCUUCUUUCCUCUUUAGGUUUGCUUUUCCUUUGCUUUUCUUCUUAUCUAUCCAUCACAUGCCUCAACGCGAAGACAAAACAGAAAGAAAUAGAGAGCUUUGUUGCAGAGCAUUUGGUUGUGGCUCAUCCAAAUGGCAGAUCAGAUCUCCCACUCUUCUGACACGUCUCCCUGGGCUCGAAUUUCCACAGACUUGCCUGUUCUCGAGAAGCAAGAGGAAAAAAAUCUUGCCUUGAUGAUUUUGUAGAUUCAAGAGGAAGCAAAGAACAGAUCAGGCGGCGUGGGUUUUGAGAUAGAGAGCGAGAGGACAAAUGGUUUAUUCCCCCUCCUCCAACCCAAAAGAAAAAAAAACGAAAAUUUUGGGCUCGGAGAGCGAGAAGAUGAGAUCGAGAAGCGUACGCCUCCUCUGCUCUUCCGUGCUAUCUGGCUUAACGGACCCUACUGUUGACCGGUCCUUGCUCCCUCUUCUUCUUUUUAACUCUCUGCCUUCGCUGCCUCUUUUGCUUCUUUCGUCUUCUUUUUCUGUGUAUAUUUCGUUUUUUAUUUCAGAAGAUCUGUUCAGUCGCUACCGGCUCUUGAAAGACAAGAUCUUUGUCUUCGUGAAUAAGGGUUGAUGACAAAAAACCCUAAUCUAAGCACUCAACUUUCUUCUCUCUCUCUCGCUCGCUCGCUCUUCGUCCUAUCCUCUCUUUCUUUAUUCUUCUUUUCAUCCCAGCAAUGGCUUUCUGAUAGGAAGAGGAGGAAAUGUCAUCUCAAUAGAGUUGAACAGGUUCGAUCUUUACAUAAGUCUAGUUUGUCUCUACUUCUAUGCUUCUCAGCUACAGUACAAUAUUCCAUGGAGCUUGCAGUUUGUUAUUUCUUAGCAAAAUGAGUUAUUUUUCUGCUUGUUCUUCUUUCUUCUUCACCAACCAAAUCUGAUAGUUUUUCUACCCUUCACUAAUGAUAGAUUUGUGUACAUGAUCAUGCCUAAGUAAAUUUCUUCAAAGUUUUCAUAAUGUUUGACAGUCUAAUGCAGUGAGAUUUAGCAGUUAAUUAGUCAUGUGAUUGUGCUUUAUCCAUUAGAAAGUUCAUGGAUUCCUUUGGAGUAUGAAUUAUUUGGUUUUAAUCUUAAUUAUUGAUGUAAUUAAGCAGUUUUAAUGCUAACAAACUUUUGUUGAGCUAAUUAAGUUUUAUGUGGCUCUUUAAUCUUCU